AGCUGGAAACACCACUUUAUCAAAGAGAAUUUCCCUUUAGCUUAGCAAUAUGCUGCAGCUCUCAAAAGAUUGGAUCUGAAAGAAAGAGACGGAGGAGAAUGAGAGCCAGAGACAGAGAUGCAGACAAGGGAGGGAAGGGGAAAAAAGACUUUUCUUUUCUUUUCUUUUUUUUCUUUCUAGAGGAAUUCUGCCCAGACUCUCCAGCAGUUGGUAGCAGGCAGGCUUUCUCCUGUGUCGCCUGGAAAAGUUGCAAAAUUGCUCUUCACCUGUAAGAACAUGCUUUUUUAUCUUCCAGUCUCUUCUUGUCAAUUUGGAAAUUGCAGACAGCCCGGCUCAGGCAUUAAGAGAAAUUGAUUAGUGACAAGGAAGAGAAGAAAACAUUGCUGGUCAGUAGGCCACGGGGUCAAAGAAGAAAGCUUUAAGCCAAAGAAGAAGAUCAUUCUAUUCUGUUUGUUUCUUGUUCAUUGUAUACAUAUAUAUAGAUAUAUGAGUUCGAGGCCAGCCUCGUCUAUGCAGAGAAACCCUGCCUGAAACAAAACAAAAGCAAUGUGAAAAAAGACUUCAGAACUACUGAGCUGGAGUGAACUUGUGUACACUAAAAAGUUAUGAAUCUCAAUGUGUUUGGAAUGUUAUGUCCUGAAUGCUUGCAUUUCCCCUAAAAUAUACAUAUUGAAAUCAUGGCCCCUAAGACGACGGAUGGUAUUACCUUUGGGAGGUGAUCAUGUCACAAAGGCAUGGCUUUCAUGGACAAAAUCAGUGACUCUGUAAAGACAUAACAGAGGUUUUGGUGUCUUCUCUCUGACAGCCUUGUUGUACCUGGAGUAGCCACCAUUGCAUACAGCAUUUGCCUCUAGCUUUUCCAGUCUCCAGAGUGAUAAGAAGGGACUUUCUGUGGUUUUUAAACCACCCAGUUUGUAGUAUUUUGUUACAGUAGCC
ensembl:lncRNA